CCCUUAGAUGUUCUGGGCCGCACGCGCGCUACACUGAUGAAUGCAACGAGCUCUACCCUUGACCGAAAGGCCCGGGUAAACUUGUGAAACUUCAUCGUGAUGGGGAUAGAUUAUUGCAAUUAUUAAUCUUCAACGAGGAAUUCCUAGUAAGCGCGAGUCAUCAGCUCGCGUUGAUUACGUCCCUGCCCUUUGUACACACCGCCCGUCGCUCCUACCGAUUGAAUGGUCCGGUGAAAUCUUCGGAUUGCUGACCAAGAUCCAGCAAUGGAGCUUGGUUGCGAGAAGUUGAUUAAACCUUAUUAUUUAGAGGAAGGAGAAGUCGUGACA
rnacentral:rRNA from 1 species